rnacentral:rRNA from 1 species
AUGGCACCACCAUCGUCCGUCUCGCACGGACGGGCGCCAUCCCAGUGGCCAACCGCGACAUCGCCAUCGACGAGGUCGUCCCUCACGUUGCCUGCCUCACCACCGAUCGUUGUCGUCGAGGAGGCCCUUGAGGUCGCCCACCCUGCAACCAGCCGCUCCUCCACCAUAUUGCCCACCACCUGUUCGACGGGGUUCCCAAGCCGCGAUGCGUCCGCAUCGGUGUCGGCUCUCACCUCGUCCGCAGCGCCAGCUUCUUCCACGACCGCAAAUGAUGUCGUCCCCGAGCUUACUGCACCUGUGGUCAGUGAUGAGGCCCUCAUUGUCGAAGCCACUGCUAUCACCACAGGGACGCCUACCAGGUGCUCGACGGGUGGCCUCGACCACAACACCGCAAGAGACGACUUCAUGGCGUUGCGCCUGCUUCCUCCAAGUGUGCCUACACUCUUCACCAUGCCACAGGAGGCCUCACCACCGCUGUCACUUCGGUUCUUUUUCGCCAUCGAACUGGACAUAAAGGCGCCCACAAGGUGUUCGCCUAAGUGUCUCACUGACGACGCCCAUUCUGUUCACGUACAUGUCACACCGAACGCAUCAGGCAACAAGGAAAAACGCCACGGCCAAUUCCAUGGCCCUCGUUCAAGUGCCAUUCAGGAGCAGCUAUAG